AUGAUGCGUGACCAGCCUUACGUGGGGUCGCACCACUAUUCCGCCCAAAACAUGGCCGACGGCGGAGACCUGUCCUACCUCGAUUAUUAUUUCGAGCAGGACGCUGUGCCUGCGUCUCUGCCGGCUCCGGCGAACCCGCAGGGGAGCAAGAAGAGGGGGGCGUCGGCGAUGGAGGUUGACGCGCCGCAGGGGCAGGGCGUGGUGGGUCUGUGGAGUGAGAUGGUGGCGGAGGAUCAGCCGGGGUUUAAGAGGCAGAACUCGCUGUGGGAGUCAAUGGAUACCGGUGGCGGGCUAGCGCUUCAUGUGGUGGAGUCGUCGGUCUCGGCGGCGCGGGGGUCCAAGCGGCAGCGCUCUCCGUCGGGCUCGAUUGAGACCGCCAGCGGCGGGAGCAAUGAGGACGGCGGAAGCGAGACCGUCAAUGAGUCUCUGGCGUUGGCCACGGUGACGGGGGAGAAGGGCGGGAGGCGGCUGUGGAAGAAGGACCGCCACAACGAGUGGUGGGACACGGCUAGCAGCUCGGGCUACCCGGCGGCGGACUUCAGCCACCAUUUCCGCAUGUCCCCCUACACGUUCCAGGUUCUGUGCGAGCAGCUGGCGGCCGCCGUCCGCAAGGAGGACACCGCGCUGCGCGCCGCCAUCCCCGUGCAGAAGCGCGUCGCCGUCUGCGUCUGGCGCCUCGCCACCGGGGAGCCCCUCCGCAAGGUCGCCGAUCGCUUCGCCAUCGGGGUCUCCACCUGCCACAAGCUCGUGCUCGACGUCUGCGCCGCCAUCGAGGCCACGGUCGUGCCCAACGUCAUCCGGUGGCCGGACCCCGCCGCCAUGGCCACCAACGCCGCCAAGUUCGAGGCCUUGUCGGGCAUCCCGGGCAUCAUCGGCGCCGUCUACACCACCCACGUGGCCAUCAUCGCGCCCAAGCACCACGUCAUCAACUACUUAAACCCCCGCGCCACGGCGCGCAAGAGCAAGACCUGCUACAGCAUCACCCUGCAGGCGUCGGUGGACGCGGACGGGACCUUCACCGACGUCCGCGUCAGCCCCGGCGCCAUGACCGGCGACCAAACCCUCCUCCUCUGGUCGAUGAACAAGCCGAAGCUUACCGGGGAGACCCUUGGCGAGGGCAUGCGCCUGGUCGGCGGCGCCGGCUACCCGCUCACGGACUGGAUGCUGGUGCCCUACUCCCACCACAACCUGACGUGGACGCAGCACGAGUUCAACGGGAGACUGGCAAUGGCGCGCGCCGUCGCCGUCGGCGCGUUCCAGAGGCUCAAGGCGCGCUGGGCCUGCCUCCAGAGGCGCACCGAGGUCAAGGUGGACGACCUUUCCGUCAUGCUCGGCGCCUGCUGCGCGCUCCACAACAUCUGCGAGCGCAGCGGCGAACCCUUGGACCUCCAGCUGCUGCAGGGCCUGGAGCUCGACCUAGACGACGACGACGACCACAUGGUCGCCAAUGACCCCGUGCCCUCCCCCGCCGCCGAGCAAAUGCGAGACACCAUCGCCCACAACAUGCUUCACCAUGGCAACAAGCUGGCCGGCGCUGGGACGUCUUUCUACUAG
rnacentral:rRNA from 1 species